CCCCCAAUAUCGCCCGAUGGGUGACGGUACCCCGAUCGUCAAAAUUCAGCACCACGAAACGACCCCUUAAUGGCAACAGUAGCUCGAAGGUGUGAGGGUGUCGGUGCGGGCGCACGUAGGUCCCAGGGGAUUAGCUUGUUGGUGGGGUAACGGCUCACCAAGGCGACGAUCCCUAGCUGGUCUGAGAGGAUGACCAGCCACACUGGAACUGAGACACGGUCCAGACUCCUACGGGAGGCAGCAGUGGGGAAUA
rnacentral:rRNA from 1 species